rnacentral:rRNA from 1 species
AACGUAGGUGGCGAGCGUUAUCCGGAUUCAUUGGGCGUAAAGAGCUUGUAGGCGGCGUCAUAAGUUGGACGUGAAAGCUCCGGGCUUAACUUGGAGAGGCCGUUCAAUACUGUGAGGCUGGAGGGUGUCAGAGGGAAGUAGAAUUCCUGGUGUAGCAGUGAAAUGCGUAGAUAUCAGGAGGAAUACCCGUGGCGAAGGCGGCUUCCUGGGGCACCACUGACGCUGAGAAGCGAAAGCUAGGGGAGCAAACGGG